rfam:Salmo salar isolate Sally breed double haploid chromosome ssa12, whole genome shotgun sequence.
UGCAUUCACUGCUAUAAGUCGCUCUGGAUAAGAGCAUCUGCUAAAUGACUAAAA